rnacentral:lncRNA from 1 species
GCACCAAGCAAUGGUUUUGGCCUUGGUUCUUGUCCCCCAAGAGCUUCCGAGCAAGCUCUAAGGAGAAGCAGACCCGGAGAGUGCCCUCAGGGCCCGGGGAUCCAGCGGCCUCGCCAUCUGGAAGGCGAAGCUGUCCGUCUGGCGUCUGCAAGGACCUGUCGUGUGAACACAGGACGCUUCUUGGAAGGAGUCCCAGGCGUCAAAAGUGCUGCUCACCUGCACUGGAAAGCCAGCGCGCGCGCGCACCGUGCCUCCUGGCAGCCCCCCGCCCCUUGCCCUGCGCCCUGCUCCCCGCACUCGCUCCCGGCCUGCGGGCGCCUCCGGAAGCUCCGAGAGCCGCCCAGACGCGCGGAGGCGUUGGGGGGGGGGUAUUCAGGUGAUUGGGGGCAGUGCGGGGCGCGGGAAGCUGGUGGCGCGACACGAACCCUCCUCGGAGUCUCCGCCUACAGCGUCCUCAAACACGAGCACGGAUGUCAACGAAAGCCCCGCCGUGUCCGCAAACACCACUUGCUUCUUGGGGCUCUGCGGUUUAGGAGGUCUUGCCAGACAGGAGCGGAGGGACCGCGGGGGCCGCAGGGGCCGCAGGGGCCGCUGCUGGGAGGUGCUGUGGCUGAGGCGGAGGUGCAUGGGGGCGGUACGCAGAAGCCAGGCCUGCCGCGCGGGGACCUUUGGCAAACCGGGAAGGACGUUCUGAGGACGGGGCAGAAGGCCCUGGCGUUCUCCACGGCAGCCCAGCCCGCCCUUCCUCCUCCCUGCCAUGUCACUGCACCUCUUCUCCCUCGGGGUCCUCUGCCUGCAGAUGUCUGCAGAAACCGGGUCGAAAGCAGCACCGGCAAGCAGUGGCAGUGGGCUGGGCGCCGAGGGAGAGCCGGUCGGUUCCUGGAGACAGGGGCACUUACCCUACGUAGCUCCAGGCAGCAGCUCCUUUUCUCUGAGACCACUUUCCCGGCAGGAGCUAUUUAUGUGCCCUUGACCCCUAGAGAGCCAGCAGGCCGGGGUGCACUGGCCCCUGGGAGGCAGCCAAUCAGAAAGGCCUUUCACGUGGGACCCACUGGGGGAAAUGAAAAGGAUGUGACAACAAGUGUGACUCAGGCACUUUGCCCUGGGCCGCCAGCCCUCUGCCCCCGACCGGGCACCCUUAGGCGUAACGUCACGCUUGGGUUGUCUGCAGUUGUGGUCUGCGCUGAGGAGAGGCCGACCAGGAAGCAGACAUACUCCAGGGAAGAGAGGGUUCCCACACGCUGCAUGUCGUUUCCCCAGGGGGGUGGGGGUGGGAACAGACUGUGCCUCUCCCUCCGCACCUCUAUGCAGUGA